rnacentral:rRNA from 1 species
UAGUCUACGCCGUAAACGAUGGAUACUAGUUGUUUGGCUUUCGGGCUGAGUGACUAAGCGAAAGUGAUAAGUAUCCCACCUGGGGAGUACGUUCGCAAGAAUGAAACUCAAAGGAAUUGACGGGGGCCCGCACAAGCGGUGGAGCAUGUGGUUUAAUUCGAUGAUACGCGAGGAACCUUACCAGGGCUUAAAUGUAGUCUGACAGCUUUAGAGAUAGAGUUUUCUUCGGACAGAUUACAAGGUGCUGCAUGGUUGUCGUCAGCUCGUGCCGUGAGGUGUCAGGUUAAGUCCUAUAACGAGCGCAACCCCUGUUGUUAGUUGCCAGCGAGUAAUGUCGGGAACUCUAGCAAGACUGCCGGUGCAAACCGCGAGGAAGGUGGGGAUGACGUCAAAUCAUCACGGCCCUUACGUCCUGGGCUACACACGUGCUACAAUGGUCGUGACAAAGGGUUGCUAAUCUGCAAAGACAUGCUAAUCUCAUAAACACGGCCUCAGUUCGGAUUG